rnacentral:rRNA from 1 species
AUGGCCGAGUCGGCUGUCCGCGCCGUGGUCAGCAAUGUGAGCACCCUUGCGCUCCAGGAGACCACGCUGCUGUGUGGAGUCACCCUUGAAGUGGAGUUCCUGAAAGAUGAGCUCAAGCGGCUGCAUGGUUUCCUUCGGGAUGCUGACGGAAAACAGAGGACAGGUAUGGCAGGUGUUGCCAUCUUGGUGAGCCAGAUCAGAGAUGUGGCGUACGAGGCCGACAAUGCCAUCGAAUCCGCGGAGUACAUGCACAGGAGAAACAUGCUCAAGAAGGGAUUUAUGGGUGCCAUUGCAAGGUAUGCUCGCCUACCAAGUGAUUUGAGUACCCUUCACAAAGUUGGUGUUGAAAUAAAACGUAUAAGAAGGACGAUAGCUGAGAUAUUUGACAGCGCAAACCGUUUGAGAAUAGUUGCUGAUUUGGAGAAUACAUCCACUGAAAAUGUUCAUCUUGAUGAUGUGGUCCCGCAAGAGUAUGGGCCUAUGCCCCAAAAUUUUGAGGAUACAAACGUUGUUGGUUUUGAGGAUGACUACAAAGAAAUAAUGGGGAAUUUAGUAGACAAGGAGGACUGUCUUAGUGCUAUCUCCAUAGUGGCCAUGGGUGGGGCGGGGAAAACAACACUUGCCAAAAAAAUCUACACUUCGGCUAUAGUUAAACAACACUUUCGAAAGAUUGUAUGGGUUACUGUAUCUCAGAAGUACAAGGGCAUUGAUUUACUAAAGGAUAUUCUGAUCCAAAUAAUGGGGAGGAGAGAUGAGUCAGUUGAUAAACUAGAUGAGUACGAAGUGGAAAGAGAAUCCAUGAUUUUUUGUUGCAAACAAGAUACUUACUAG